CGGGACGGGGCUGGGCUGGGCUGGGCAGGGGCCGGGCUGUGGGCGCGGAGCUCCCGGCCACCCACUCAUCUUGCACUU
rnacentral:miRNA from 1 species